rnacentral:rRNA from 1 species
CCUCCAACGAUGACGGUGGUGCUUGCACCGCCUGAUUAGUGGCGAACGGGUGAGUAACACGUGAGUAACCUGCCCUCCACUUCGGGAUAACCUCGGGAAAUCGUGGCUAAUACCGGAUACGAGCACUCAUCGCAUGGUGGGUGUUGGAAAGAUUUAUCGGUGGGGGAUGGACUCGCGGCCUAUCAGUUUGUUGGUGAGGUGAUGGCUCACCAAGACGAUGACGGGUAGCCGGCCUGAGAGGGCGACCGGCCACACUGGGACUGAGACACGGCCCAGACUCCUACGGGAGGCAGCAGUGGGGAAUAUUGCACAAUGGGCGAAAGCCUGAUGCAGCGACGCCGCGUGGGGGAUGACGGCCUUCGGGUUGUAAACCCCUUUCAGUAGGGAAGAAGCGAAAGUGACGGUACCUGCAGAAGAAGCGCCGGCUAACUACGUGCCAGCAGCCGCGGUAAUACGUAGGGCGCAAGCGUUGUCCGGAAUUAUUGGGCGUAAAGAGCUCGUAGGUGGCUUGUCGCGUCUGCCGUGAAAACCCGAGGCUCAACCUCGGGCGUGCGGUGGGUACGGGCAGGCUAGAGUGUGGUAGGGGAGACUGGAACUCCUGGUGUAGCGGUGAAAUGCGCAGAUAUCAGGAAGAACACCGAUGGCGAAGGCAGGUCUCUGGGCCAUUACUGACACUGAGG